CGUGAAACCGUCCAGGGGUAAACCUGCGAAACUCGAAUGAACGAACGGGGAGAUUCAUCGUCAUUCCCCGGCGCACGCGCGUCGUCGCGAUGCCGUAGCGUCACCGUCUCGCGGCGGUGUGCGCGACGCGCACGCGACGGCGUCCGUCGUCGCGAUCCGGGGACGGCGUGCACUUCUCCCCCAGUAAUACAUCGCGACCCGUCCGGUGUCGGUCUAAGCGCCCUCCGGGAGUCUGACGCGCCUCGCGCGCGCCAGACCGCGAGGUGCCGUGCCGAUCGGCCGCCGGACGGUAGUGCAUACGAAACGCGCACGCGCCUAGCGCGCGUCCGGCCCGACGCAAGACAACGUCGUCGCCCCCCUCCUGCCAGUGCGCGGAGGGGGGUGCGGCGCGUCUGUUGUCGCCGCCGUGCCAGUCUCGGACCGUGCGCGUGUCCGUCUGCGA
rnacentral:rRNA from 1 species